rnacentral:snoRNA from 1 species
CUGAGGACCAGGGAUGUGAGAAAAAUAUUUGCUACUCUUGAUGAGGCAUUGAGUCCCAUCUGAUGAUCAUUAACCACCAAGAUCUCUGAGGCCUUGUUCUAGCCGUCACUGUUUAUUUCGAGCUUUCUGCUUCUCUGGUUUUGAC